rnacentral:rRNA from 1 species
UGCAGUCGAGGGGUAACGGAAGUAGCUUGCUACUAGACGACGACCGGCGCACGGGUGAGUAACGCGUAUGCAACCUGCCUUGUACAGGGGGAUAGCCCGGAGAAAUCCGGAUUAAUACCGCAUAAUAAUCAUUUCGCAUGGGAAAUGAUUUAAACCUUGGGGGUACAAGAUGGGCUGCGUAGCAUUAGCUUGUUGGUGAGGUAACGGCUCACCAAGGCGAUGAUGCUUAGGGGGUUGAGAGGAUAGUCCCCCACACUGGUACUGAGACACGGACCAGACUCCUACGGGAGGCAGCAGUGAGGAAUAUUGGUCAAUGGACGCAAGUCUGAACCAGCCAUGUCGCGUGCAGGAUGACGGCCCUAUGGGUUGUAAACUGCUUUUUUACGGGAAUAAACUUAGCUACGUGUAGUUAACUGAAGGUACCGUAUGAAUAAGGAUCGGCUAACUCCGUGCCAGCAGCCGCGGUAAUACGGAGGAUUCGAGCGUUAUCCGGAUUUAUUGGGUUUAAAGGGUCCGUAGGCGGGCUUGUAAGUCAGUGGUGAAAUCCCGGAGCUCAACUCCGGAACUGCCAUUGAUACUGCAGGUCUUGAAUAUAGUUGAGGUAGGCGGAAUACGUUAUGUAGCGGUGAAAUGCAUAGAUAUAACGUAGAACACCGAUUGCGAAGGCAGCUUACUAAGCUAUUAUUGACGCUGAUGGACGAAAGCGUGGGGAGCGAACAGGAUUAGAUACCCUGGUAGUCCACGCCGUAAACGAUGAUUACUCGUUGUGCGCGAUACACAGUGCGCGACUGAGCGAAAGCAUUAAGUAAUCCACCUGGGGAGUACGUUGGCAACAAUGAAACUCAAAGGAAUUGACGGGGGCCCGCACAAGCGGAGGAACAUGUGGUUUAAUUCGAUGAUACGCGAGGAACCUUACCUGGGCUUAAAUGCAGUUUGACCGGCUUGGAAACGAGCUUUCUCUUCGGAGCAAAUUACAAGGUGCUGCAUGGUUGUCGUCAGCUCGUGCCGUGAGGUGUCGGGUUAAGUCCCAUAACGAGCGCAACCCCUAUCGUUAGUUGCUAGCAGGUAAUGCUGAGGACUCUAGCGAGACUGCCACCGUAAGGUGAGAGAAGGUGGGGAUGACGUCAAAUCAGCACGGCCCUUACGUCCAGGGCUACCACGUGUUACAAUGGCUAGUACAAAGGGCAGCUACCUGGUNANNGGAUGCUAAUCUCAAAGCUAGUCUCAGUUCGGAUCGGAUCUGCAACU